AAGGGGUGGUGGUGGAGUGGUGGGUUGUUUUUUUUUGAAAAUACUUGCGGCAAUAGAAAUUCUGCUUGAGAAAGCAAUAUGGAAAUAUGCUGGUGACUGCUUUAAAUGCAGCUCACGUAUGACGUAGUCUGCCUGCCAGUGGAAAAACCCCACCAGCUCUCGAGAGAGCCCUGCUCUGAUCAGUCUGAGUAGAUUAUUCCUUCAGCUUUAAUAAUUCAAACUCCCUGUCUGCCUUACAGGGAGUUUUCCUCUCGCCUGGAAGACACAUGAUGCUGACUGGGGAGAUCCCCAGUCUGCUGCUCGUAUUUUUAAUGGAGUGGUGCUCAGAGCUCCAGGUGACCAUGAGCCAGCGCGGUGGCUGAAAGCUGCGGCAACACAGCGCUACCGGGGGAGCCGCUCCAGAAAUGAGGACAGCUAUCUGCCUCCUCUUUGCAGAGACAACUUAUGAGGUCAAGUGGUACACCACACAAAUAAAAUGACAGCUAAAUUGUAGAAGGAAAGCA
rnacentral:lncRNA from 1 species